rnacentral:misc_RNA from 1 species
GAUGAAGAACGUAGCGAAAUGCGAUAAGUAAUGUGAAUUGCAGAAUUCAGUGAAUCAUCGAAUCUUUGAACGCAUCUUGCGCUCCUUGGUAUUCUGAGGAGCAUGCCUGUUUGAGUGUCAUUAAAUUCUCAACUACACUGACUUUGAAUUGGUGUGGCUUGGAUUUGGGGGGAAAAUUGUUGUGGGCUUUCUGUAUAGUCUGCUCCCCUGAAAUUGAUUAGCGGUACCUUUGUGGAACUGUCUACAGGUGUGAUAAUUAUCUACAUCUUAGACAUCUGCUGGAAUGCUGCUUUCUAAACCUUACUUGUAUUGACAAUCUUGACCUCAAAUCAGGUAGGACUACCCGCUGAACUUAAGCAUAUCAAUAAGCGGAGGA